rnacentral:pre_miRNA from 1 species
UAUCCCCAUGCCACAGGGUCCAGUUGCUAACUGUAUUAUAUCAUGGAUCAAUGGUGGUCCCUGUGUUUUGGGGUG